GUUAAAGAGUUUUUUUCUUUUUUUUAAAGAAUUACUUUGAAAAAUGAAGUAAGACGUAUUCUCAACAACCAACUUCUGCCAAAAUAUGCAAAGAAUAAAACAGGCCAUAAGAAUCCAUUGAUGUGUACAAAAUUAUUUUUUGACAGAAACAGAAACAAGGUAAACACAUGGAAGAUUCAAGUGAGAACUGAACUGGAACCCAGAAGGAAAAGCAGCAAGUCAAUAUAUUUCCUUUUAUCUUCUAACAAAGGAAAAAGCUGGUGUUCAAAGGAGUAACUACUACCCUGGAGAAGUUCAUGAUUUUUUAAGAUAUAAUAGAUGUAGAUUUUGAAAAAUAAACAAAGCUAAUUUGUCUAGGAA
rnacentral:lncRNA from 1 species